rnacentral:rRNA from 1 species
GACGAACGCUGGCGGCGUGCCUAACACAUGCAAGUCGAGCGAUGAAAUUAGAAACGGAGUCUUCGGACGAAGAGGAAAAUGGAUUAGCGGCGGACGGGUGAGUAACACGUGAGCAACCUGCCUAUCACAUCGGGAUAGCCUCGGGAAACUGGGAUUAAUACCGAAUGAAACAUAAUCACUGCCUAGUGGAAAUGUCAAAGAUUUAUCGGUGAUAGAUGGGCUCGCGUCUGAUUAGCUAGUUGGUGAGGUAAUGGCUCACCAAGGCGACGAUCAGUAGCCGGCCUGAGAGGGUGAACGGCCACAUUGGGACUGAGACACGGCCCAAACUCCUACGGGAGGCAGCAGUGGGGAAUAUUGCACAAUGGAGGGAACUCUGAUGCAGCGACGCCGCGUGAGCGAUGAAGGCUUUCGAGUCGUAAAGCUCUGUCGAAUGGGAAGAUAAUGACGGUACCAUUUGAGAAAGCCCCGGCUAACUACGUGCCAGCAGCCGCCGUAA